rnacentral:rRNA from 1 species
UACGUAGGUGACAAGCGUUGUCCGGAUUUACUGGGCGUAAAGAGCGCGCAGGCGGUCGAUCAAGUCGAGUGUGAAAGCCCCCGGCUCAACUGGGGAGGGUCAUUCGAUACUGAUCGACUCGAAGGCAGGAGAGGGUAGUGGAAUUCCCGGUGUAGUGGUGAAAUGCGUAGAUAUCGGGAGGAACACCAGUGGCGAAGGCGACUACCUGGCCUGUUCUUGACGCUGAGGAGCGAAAGCAUGGGGAGCGAACAGG